rnacentral:rRNA from 1 species
CAUCAGUUUUGACCAUUGGAUAAAGGUAGAUUGAAUGUGGCAUCCUCGGAUGUGUUAUAGCUUUUUACCGUAUACAGUGGUUGGGACUGAGGAACUCAGCACGCCGCAAGGCCGGGUUUUUAACCACGUUCGUGCUUAGGAUGCUGGCAUAAUGGCUUUAAUCGA